UAGGCUGCAACUCGCCUACAUGAAGUCGGAAUCGCUAGUAAUCGCGGAUCAGCAUGCCGCGGUGAAUACGUUCCCGGGCCUUGUACACACCGCCCGUCACACCAUGAGAGUUGGGAAUACCCGAAGCCUGUGAGCUAACUUUUAGAGGCAGCAGUCGAAGGUAGAAUCAAUGAUUGGGGUGAAGUCGUAACAAGGUAUC
rnacentral:rRNA from 1 species